GAUGAACGCUGGCGGCGUGCCUAAUACAUGCAAGUCGAGCGAACGGACGAGAAGCUUGCUUCUCUGAUGUUAGCGGCGGACGGGUGAGUAACACGUGGAUAACCUACCUAUAAGACUGGGAUAACUUCGGGAAACCGGAGCUAAUACCGGAUGAUAUUUUGAACCGCAUGGUUCAACAGUGAAAGACGGUCUUGCUGUCACUUAUAGAUGGAUCCGCGCUGCAUUAGCUAGUUGGUAAGGUAACGGCUUACCAAGGCAACGAUGCAUAGCCGACCUGAGAGGGUGAUCGGCCACACUGGAACUGAGACACGGUCCAGACUCCUACGGGAGGCAGCAGUAGGGAAUCUUCCGCAAAGGGCGAAAGCCUGACGGAGCAACGCCGCGUGAGUGAUGAAGGUCUUCGGAUCGUAAAACUCUGUUAUUAGGGAAGAACAUAUGUGUAAGUAACUGUGCACAUCUUGACGGUACCUAAUCAGAAAGCCACGGCUAACUACGUG
rnacentral:rRNA from 1 species